rnacentral:rRNA from 1 species
AGAGCGAACGCUGGCGGCAGGCUUAACACAUGCAAGUCGAGCGCCCCGCAAGGGGAGCGGCAGACGGGAGAGUAACACGUGGGAACGUACCCUUUGGUUCGGAACAACCCAGGGAAACUUGGGCUAAUACCGGAUAAGUCCGUAAGGAGAAAGAUUUAUCGCCAAUGGAUCGGCCCGCGUCUGAUUAGCUAGUUGGUGAGGUAAUGGCUCACCAAGGCGACGAUCAGUAGCUGGUCUGAGAGGAUGAUCAGCCUCACUGGGACUGAGACACGGCCCAGACUCCUACGGGAGGCAGCAGUGGGGAAUAUUGGACAAUGGGCGCAAGCCUGAUCCAGCCAUGCCGCGUGGGUGAUGAAGGCCCUAGGGUUGUAAAGCCCUUUCGGCGGGAAGAUAAUGACGGUACCCGCAGAAGAGCCCGGCUAACUCGCGCCAGCAGCCGC